rnacentral:rRNA from 1 species
AGUGAAGCGGCAAUAGCUCAAAUUUGAAAGCUGGCCCCUUCGGGGUCCGCGUUGUAAUUUGUAGAGGAUGGUUCGGCGAGGGCUCCCGUCUAAGUCCCUUGGAACAGGGCGUCAUAGAGGGUGAGAAUCCCGUAUGUGAUGGGCUGCCUUAGCCAUGUGAACCUCCUUCGACGAGUCGAGUUGUUUGGGAAUGCAGCUCUAAAUGGGAGGUAAAUUUCUUCUAAAGCUAAAUACCGGCCAGAGACCGAUAGCGCACAAGUAGAGUGAUCGAAAGAUGAAAAGCACUUUGGAAAGAGAGUUAAAAAGUACGUGAAAUUGUUGAAAGGGAAGCGCUUGCAGCCAGACUUGUCCGCAGUUGCUCAGCCUGUCUCCUGACAGGCGCACUCUUCUGCGGCCAGGCCAGCAUCAGUUCGGGCGGUCGGAUAAAGACCCGGGGAAUGUAGCUCCUCUCGGGGAGUGUUAUAGCCCUGGGUGCAAUGCGGCCAGCCUGGACUGAGGAUCUCGCU